rnacentral:rRNA from 1 species
UACGGGGGGGGCAAGCGUUGUUCGGAAUUACUGGGCGUAAAGGGCUCGUAGGCGGCCAACUAAGUCAGACGUGAAAUCCCUCGGCUUAACCGGGGAACUGCAUCUGAUACUGGAUGGCUUGAGUUCGGGAGAGGGAUGCGGAAUUCCAGGUGUAGCGGUGAAAUGCGUAGAUAUCUGGAGGAACACCGUGCGCAGGAGGCGACUCCUGGACCGACACUGACGCUGAGGAGCGAAAGCCAGGGGAGCAAACGGG